CCCUUUUCUUUUGAUUGUUGCUCAGAAAGCCGUGUAGGUCGAAAUGGCUUUCGAGCUAUAAUCAAAAGUUGAGGAGGG
rnacentral:pre_miRNA from 1 species